rnacentral:rRNA from 1 species
UUCAGAGGCCUCAAGCGUUAGGCGGAAUCACUGGGCUUAAAGCGUGUGUAGGUGGAUGCCUAAGUACCUUGUGAAAUCCCACGGCUUAACCAUGGAAUUGCUUGGUAUACUGGGUGUCUUGAGCCACUCAGGGGCUACCGGAACAAACGGUGGAGCGGUGAAAUGCGUAGAUAUCGUUUGGAACGCCAAUGGUGAAAACAGGUAGCUGGAGGUGUGCUGACACUGAGACACGAAAGCCAGGGGAGCAAACGGG